CCCUUAGAUGUCCUGGGCCGCACGCGCCCUACACUGAGUGUCUGAGAUACGAGUCUGCCUGGUCCGGCAAGGUCUAGGUAAUCGCUAAAAGACACAUCAUGCUUGGGAUAGAUUAUUGCAAAUAUUAAUCUUGAACGAGGAAUUCCUAGUAAGCGCAAGUCAACAGCUUGCGUUGAUUACGUCCCUGCCCUUUGUACACACCGCCCGUCGCUACUACUGAUUGGAUGUUUAAGCGAGGUUCUCGAACUGCUAGCGACUUAGCUUCGGUGAGGUCGCAGUGUGGGAAGUGAACCUAGCUUUGGUGUCUAGAGGAAGUAAAAGUCGUAACA
rnacentral:rRNA from 1 species